CACAGGACUUCAAUUUUAUAAGAGUCCAGAAAGUUCUGAGUAAUGCACAGAAUUCUACAUACACAGCAAAUGCAGCCAUGGCAAAAUGUAGUCCCUGGUGAGGCAGGCAAACAGAGAAUCAACAAUCCUUUGCUUUUAUUGGAAUAAUAAAACAGGAGCAGUUUGUGUCUGAAUGUGCUGUAAACCAGAUUUUUUUUUCAUGUAAAUUCCAUAGCCAGGAUAUCACAGACAUUGCCAUGAAAGUGGUAAAUGGAGAAAUACAGUCUUUGGAGGAAUCUUGACUUCUCAGCACUCUUUGUUUAUUCAUUUAAAUGUGCCUAUUUUUAUGGAUGGUGGGUCAAGAUGGGGGAUUCAAUGAAAUAGUAUUUCAUAACAAAAUAAGCAUGAAGAGAAUUUGGGCAUGUCUACCAAAACACGAAGGACAACAACAAGAGCAAGACCCAACAAACCUAUACAUCUCAAAUCUCCCCAUUUCUAUGGAUGAGCAGGAGCUUGAGAAUAUGCUGAAACCCUUUGGACAUGUCAUUUCCACAAGAAUACUAAGAGACGCUAAUG
rnacentral:sRNA from 1 species